rnacentral:rRNA from 1 species
AGAGUUUGAUUCUGGCUCAGGACGAACGCUGGCGGCGUGCUUAACACAUGCAAGUCGAACGAUGAAGCCUAGCUUGCUAGGUGGAUUAGUGGCGAACGGGUGAGUAAUACGUGAGUAACCUACCUUUAACUCUGGGAUAAGCCUGGGAAACUGGGUCUAAUACCGGAUACGACCAAUCUCCGCAUGGGGUGUUGGUGGAAAGCGUUAUGUAGUGGUUAUAGAUGGGCUCACGGCCUAUCAGCUUGUUGGUGAGGUAACGGCUCACCAAGGCGACGACGGGUAGCCGGCCUGAGAGGGUGACCGGCCACACUGGGACUGAGACACGGCCCAGACUCCUACGGGAGGCAGCAGUGGGGAAUAUUGCACAAUGGGCGCAAGCCUGAUGCAGCGACGCCGCGUGAGGGAUGACGGCCUUCGGGUUGUAAACCUCUGUUAGCAGGGAAGAAGAGAGAUUGACGGUACCUGCAGAGAAAGCGCCGGCUAACUACGUGCCAGCAGCCGCGGUAAUACGUAGGGCGCGAGCGUUGUCCGGAAUUAUUGGGCGUAAAGAGCUUGUAGGCGGUUUGUCGCGUCUGCUGUGAAAGGCCGGGGCUUAACUCCGUGUAUUGCAGUGGGUACGGGCAGACUAGAGUGCAGUAGGGGAGACUGGAAUUCCUGGUGUAGCGGUGGAAUGCGCAGAUAUCAGGAGGAACACCGAUGGCGAAGGCAGGUCUCUGGGCUGUAACUGACGCUGAGAAGCGAAAGCAUGGGGAGCGAACAGGAUUAGAUACCCUGGUAGUCCAUGCCGUAAACGUUGGGCACUAGGUGUGGGGGACAUUCCACGUUUUCCGCGCCGUAGCUAACGCAUUAAGUGCCCCGCCUGGGGAGUACGGCCGCAAGGCUAAAACUCAAAGGAAUUGACGGGGGCCCGCACAAGCGGCGGAGCAUGCGGAUUAAUUCGAUGCAACGCGAAGAACCUUACCAAGGCUUGACAUAUACUGGACCGCAUCAGAGAUGGUGUUUCCCUUCGGGGCUGGUAUACAGGUGGUGCAUGGUUGUCGUCAGCUCGUGUCGUGAGAUGUUGGGUUAAGUCCCGCAACGAGCGCAACCCUCGUUCUAUGUUGCCAGC